rnacentral:tRNA from 1 species
GGAGGGUAUAGCUCAGUGGUAGAGCGCGUGCUUAGCAUGCACGAGGUCCUGGGUUCAAUCCCCAGUGCCUCCG